UACAGAGGUCUCAAGCGUUGUUCGGAUUCAUUGGGCGUAAAGGGUGCGUAGGCGGGUCUUUAAGUCAGUGGUGAAAUCCUGGAGCUCAACUCCAGAACUGCCUUUGAUACUGAAGAUCUUGAGUUCGGGAGAGGUGAGUGGAACUGCGAGUGUAGAGGUGAAAUUCGUAGAUAUUCGCAAGAACACCAGUGGCGAAGGCGGCUCACUGGCCCGAUACUGACGCUGAGGCACGAAAGCGUGGGGAGCAAACAGG
rnacentral:rRNA from 1 species